GUGAAAAGGUUUUUCUAAACUGGGAAGAGAUUUUCCAGGCUGAAGUCCGGCAAUCUGAGGAGGCAAAGACGAGAUGUAGGAGGAAGCACAGGGGGUUUUAAGGGCAGUGGAAGUAGCCGUGUGCCACUGCAGCGGCAGAUGCCUGACGCUGUGCAUUCGUCAAAGCAAUAGAGGUAUACCACGUGAAGGGUGACUGCUAAGCUACAGGAACUGCAGGUUUGCCAUAUUCCAGGAAGAGAAGGGAGACAAAAAGGACUUGGUACACAGCAAGGGGUCUGCUUUUUCUGUGAAGCAGUGUCCACUCAUCCACUGCACAGCCUCACAUGGGCAGACAUGCCACUUCAUACUCCUGCUUAGUU